UGUGUCACAUGCGGGUAGGUGACGGUGCGGGGCUGGCGCUGUGGGCCCCUAGGCUAGUUGUCUCUCCCGCCGCGGAUCAACAGUGGCGCUGUGGCUGUUUGGCGGCAGUUUACAUGCGGAUUCCAGGGAACUUUCCACCGCAAAUCUGUUCCCGCUCAAGACAUGGGUUGAGAGUGAAGAAAAUCGACGGAGGUGAUGUGGCAGUGUAACGGAGUAUAUUAAUAUAUAUACAGUAUACUGGGAUAUAUACAGUAUACUGGGAUAUAUACAGUAUACUGGGAUAUACACAGUAAAAGUAUACAAAAUUGAACUCCCCGCCUGAAGUUGUGGGAUGAAGUGAACUCUAUUGCUGAAGUGUGUGAUAAGUGAACGUCUGGCGCCUCACAAAGACUGAAAGUUGAGUCAGAGUGAACUGUUUGACCUGAGGGCGGUGCAUCAGUCGAGUGUUAAGGUGGUCCUCAACUCCCCUGAUGUGGUCCUUCACGCCCGGGGAGGAGUGGGUGAGGUCAUCCUUCUGUGAUUAAAGGAAUCCCACACGAACAGGAGGACCGUUUGGAAAGUUGAGACAGGAGGAGGUUGCUCAGGGAAGAGGUGGCCAAAAAAGGGUUGGCCCAGAAGGAGGUGGCCCAGAAGGAGGUGGCCCUGAAAUAGGUGGCCCAGAAAUAAGUGGCCAAGGAGGGGGUUAACGUGCCUCCUGCUGGCCUCAUCACACACCACGAUCUCCUUCAUCCGUCGCAAGUUACUCGGCCUGUGGGACCCAGG